rnacentral:lncRNA from 1 species
ACAUCAAACUUAUCUUUUCCAAACCUAUCUUCACAGCACACCAGCUAAAGAAUUGCUGUUUCAGCCCACGUUGCUGAUUAGAAUCAGCUGAACAGCACAAAUGAAAUCUUCACCUUUAGAAAAAAAAAAUGCUUCACCGUUGUGUAACUCAGAUUGCAGAGGCUUGGAGUGGUUCAAUCGCACGACCCAGCAGAGGGAAGCACAGGAUUUCUGGUUGUCUAUCAUGUGCUAACUGUGCAAAGGGCUGGAGAACUGAAACAAAAUCUGGUCCCCCAGGAGAGGAAUCUAAGCGAUCCCAGCCCAGUUUGUCAUCCGAUUGGAAAUUAGAAAUGUGUCCACCAGGUGGCGAUCAAGAGAAGUCACUAGAACUUUUUUU